rnacentral:rRNA from 1 species
AACCCUUGUCCUUAGUUACCAGCACGUUAUGGUGGGCGACUCUAAGGAGACUGCCGGUGCCAAACCGGGAGGAAGGUGGGGAUGACGUCAAGUCAUCAUGGCCCUUACGGCCUGGGCUACACACGUGCUACAAUGGUCGGUACAAAGGGUUGCCAAGCCGCGAGGUGGAGCUAAUCCCAUAAAACCGAUCGUAGUCCGGAUCGCAGUCUGCAACUCGACUGCGUGAAGUCGGAAUCGCUAGUAAUCGUGAAUCAGAAUGUCCACGGUCGAAUACGUUCCCGGGCCUU